GCUGGGCAUGGUGGUGGGUGCCUGUAGUCCUGGCUACUCAGGAGGCAAAGGUGGUAGGAUCGUUUGAGCCCAGGAGUUCUGGACUGUAGUGCACUAUGUCAAUCGGGUGUCUGCACUAAGUUUGGCAUCAAUAUGGUGACCUCCCAGGAACAGAGACCACCAGGUUGCCUAAGGAGGGGUGAACCAGCCCGGGUCGGAAACGGAGCAGGUCAAAACUCCUGUGCUGAUCAGUAGUGGGCUGUGCCUGUGAAUAGCCAAUGCACUCCAGCCUGGGCAACAUAGCAAGACCCUGUCUCU
rnacentral:SRP_RNA from 1 species